AUGGAGAGUCAAAAUAAGAGAAAAUCGAUCAUGGUCAAGGAGGGUGAUUCAACUCGGAAAAUUGCUCGUUACUCAUGUGCAUUUUGUGAAAAAACAUAUGAAGCUCGUCAAGCACUAGGAGGACAUCAAUGUGGUAACCAACAUGAGCUAAAUGUCAUACAUGGGAUUAAUCCUAGGCCAAUCCCUCAUCAUCCAAGGGGAAAACUGAGCUUUAGCACUGGAGCUUGUAAGGUUGAUAUGAAAAAUAUCAAUGGAUGGGAAAUGUCGAAGAUAGAUGAAGUGAAAGAGGCUGAUCAUGAUCAAAAUGGUGCAAAAUCUUAA